UCAUGUGGCUGCUUAGCAAUCGCUCGUAGAGCAUUUUUCUGCAUUAUAAUAAGCUUAUGCAGGGCUUUCUUAGUACGAUUUCCCCAUACGAGAUGACAGUAACGCAAGUGCGAUUCAAACAAGGCAACAGCAAUUAUGCUGUAUACUAGACUGUUCUGAUGGUCUGGGAGAAAAUGCAUAUAUUUCCUUAGAAUGCCUACGGCUUUCGAAAGUUUAGUGCGUAAGUAGGCAUUUUGGUGGUCCCAAAGCAUAAAUUCGU
rnacentral:lncRNA from 1 species